rnacentral:rRNA from 1 species
UACAGAGGGGGCAAGCGUUGUUCGGAAUCACUGGGCGUAAAGGGCGCGUAGGCGGCCUUCUAAGUCGAACGUGAAAUCCCCGGGCUCAACCCGGGAACUGCGUCCGAUACUGGAAGGCUUGAAUCCGGGAGAGGGAUGCGGAAUUCCAGGUGUAGCGGUGAAAUGCGUAGAUAUCUGGAGGAACACCGGUGGCGAAGGCGGCAUCCUGGACCGGCAUUGACGCUGAGGCGCGAAAGCCAGGGGAGCAAACGGG